rnacentral:rRNA from 1 species
AGGACGAACGCUGGCGGCGUGCUUAACACAUGCAAGUCGAGCGGAAAGGCCUUUCGGGGUACUCGAGCGGCGAACGGGUGAGUAACACGUGAGUAAUCUGCCCAUCGCUUCAGGAUAGCCAUCGGAAACGGUGAUUAAUACUGGAUAUGACAUUCCUUCGCAUGUUGGGGUGUGGAAAGUUUUUUCGGCGGUGGAUGUGCUCGCGGCCUAUCAGCUUGUUGGUGGGGUAAUGGCCUACCAAGGCUUUGACGGGUAGCCGGCCUGAGAGGGUGACCGGCCACACUGGGACUGGAGACACGGCCCAGACUCCUACGGGAGCAGCAGUGGGGAAUA